rnacentral:rRNA from 1 species
CUGACUGUGCUAAGGUAGCAUAAUAAUUAGUAAUUUAAUUGAUUUCUAGUAUGAAUGGUCUGACAAAAUAUACACUUUCUUCUGUUAAAUUUAAAUUGAUUUGUAAGUAAAAAAGCUUAUAAAAUAUAGACUGACGAUAAGACCCUAAAACUUUCAGCAGUAAUCCUUUAUUGCACUCUUUUGCUGGGGUGGCAAAUAACUAUUACCUUAUUUACUAAAACAUAAUUUAUGAAUUUAACUAUCUAUAAAUAAAUUCAAAUAGGUACUUUAGGGAUAACAGUAUAAUUUUUAUCUAGAGAAACUUAUCGACAUAAAAGAUUAUAACCUCGAUGUUGAAUUGAUAAAACCUUUCUAAGCAACAAUAGUAAAAGUG